rnacentral:tRNA from 1 species
GGAGAGAUGCCAGAGCGGUCGAAUGGGGCGGUCUCGAAAACCGUUAUCCGCGUAAGUGGAUCCAGGGUUCGAAUCCCUGUCUCUCCG